AAUAGUGUAAUGCAUAUAAACUUUUUUGUGAUUAUUAAUAUUUGUAGAAUUUAUUGAUGGAGUAGAAGUUGAAGAUGUAGGAGAAUGUCAAGAUCAAGAAAAUCCAAAAGGAGUAACAGAAAAAAUUUGUAAAUGUAGACUGCUAUCUCAAGAGGAUUUAGAAAGUCCAUUGGGAACAAGUGUCAGCGAGAUUGUAUGCAAAUGCUUAGAAGGAACAUAUGAUCUGUCUACACCUCUGUCAUAGAAAGAAAUUUUUGGAGUUCAAACUUGUGCCGAUCAAGGUUAAAUAAAAUUUGUACUGAUCUGUCUACACCUCUGUCAUAUAAAGAAAAAAUAGAGUUCAAACUUGUGCCAAUCAAG
rnacentral:lncRNA from 1 species